rnacentral:lncRNA from 1 species
GGCAAGGACUAUGUCCUAUUCCACCUUGAAUUCUCAUCACCAAGCGGAACGCCUGACACCUAAUCUAGUCAGUGCUUACUAAGUGCUCAUUAUCAAUGCAAGAAUAACAGAGCUAUGGAACCUGGCAGCCACCUCUUUUCUUUGGGCCUCAGUCUUCUCAUGCAGAACUUGGGAUUGGACUAAAUUGGAUCUCCUAGGCUGCCUCUGACUCUAACAAUUCUCUGAUUUAAAUUAUUCUUCAUCUGGAUGUAAUCCACCUUGCUUUUCCAUCCCAGGCUCUGUUCUCACUCAUGGCUGAUGGGCAAAGGCGACUAAGGAGGCACGGCUCCGUGAGGAUGUCCUUACAACUUUGCAACCCCCAAGGAAAAAGAGGUUGUUUUCCCAAUAUCUACUGUAAAACCUAAGAGGAAAAUUUCACGUUGCUGCAGCUUGGAUCAUGCAUUUAUCAUUUGGACCACCUCUGAGGACAGGGAGUUGCAAUGUGGAUUUUAUGGAAUAGAUGCUAUGUGGUGGAAUCCUGAGUCACGGCCAAACAGCAAAUGCCAGCAAGAGUAGAGUAGGAGGCAUUUCUGUGUACACUUUGGGAAAAAGUCCAUUCCUCACUUGGUUUCAUUUCUGGCCUGAGCCGCUGUGUCCUCCACCUGAAGCCCUGACCUCUCCGUUACUGACUGGAUCCCAAUGUGCCACAGUUCACCUGCAUAAGGAGGGGGUCGAAGAAUAGAGGAAGUUAACCUUUCCAGUGCUACCUGCGGGCUGAGAAUGACGCACACAGCUUUUUUGAUACCCGGAAGUGAGACAAACUCAUAAGAUGGGGUGAGGAAAUGAGACAUCAAAAGAUUAAGUGACUUGCUAAAAUUUACACUGCCUACGAAAGCUGACCUGGAAUGUGAACCAGAAAUUGUCCUUAACCAAAUCACCUCACUGUCUCUCAAGAGAUGGGGUCUCACUACAUUGCCCAGGCUGGCUCUCAAA